rnacentral:rRNA from 1 species
UGAGUAACCUGCCCUUAACUCUGGGAUAAGCCUGGGAAACUGGGUCUAAUACCGGAUAUGACUCCUCAUCGCAUGGUGGGGGGUGGAAAGCUUUAUUGUGGUUUUGGAUGGACUCGCGGCCUAUCAGCUUGUUGGUGAGGUAAUGGCUCACCAAGGCGACGACGGGUAGCCGGCUGAGAGGGUGACCGGCCACACUGGGACUGAGACACGGUCCAGACCUCCGUACGGGAGCAG